rnacentral:precursor_RNA from 1 species
UGGUGAUUUUCAAUACUGUAUGCCGUAACUGUAAACAGGCAAACUGUUUGAAAAUUACGUCC